rnacentral:rRNA from 1 species
GCCUCCCUCCGCCGCCACUCAGACUCCGUACGGGAGGCGAGCAGUGGGAAUAUUGGACAAUGGGCGCAAGCCUGAUCCAGCAAUGCCGCGUGUGUGAAGAAGGCUUCGGGUUGUAAGCACUUUUAUCGGGAACGAAAUACCACGGGUUAAUAACCUAUGGGCUGACGGUACCCGAGGAAUAAGCACCGGCUAACUUCGUGCCAGCAGCCGCGGUAUUC